AGGAAUCCCACAACAGAAGAACCACAGAUGGAAAUCAGAGCUUGUUUCAACGUUCGAAAAACAAGACAUUGUCCUGCAUGUGUGUUGAUCAUUGAUGAAAAGAACAGGAUGUGCUGUAUUAAUCCUGAAGCUCCUUGGCUCAGUGCAAAGUUAGAACAUCUAGAAAAGAAGGGGGUAAAGUGUAAAAAUAAACACUGAAAACCAGGCAGCUGUGAACUUUAUCCAGAGUUUGAUCUUCAGCAUCCACACUAAAAAGAAGAUAGGGGGUUUCCAUUCAGACGAUCUAUGCUACGCUACACAAUCCUGCUUCUUUCAUUCAUUUUCUUUUCGGGUUAGUCCCUUUAUUAAUCUGGGGUCACCACAGCAGAAUGAACUGCCACUAGGUAUUUUCUGCCAUUUUAUUUAUUCAAUUUUUUGGGUAAUUGUUUUUAAUGGGGAGAUAAUUUGAUUUUCACCAUUUACAGGAGUAGAUUGUGAUUUUAUACCCAUCUGAAUCCAGAAUGUCUUUUUUUUUCUUAUCUGACGACCAGUGUAAAAACCUUUAAAUAACUUCAGACCCAUUUCCAGUCUUCCUUUUUAAUCUAAAAUCCAUCCUAGAACACUAUAGGCACAAUUAGUUAAAAUUAUCUAUA